CCUACGGGCGGCAGCAGUGGGGAAUAUUGCACAAUGGGGGAAACCCUGAUGCAGCAACGCCGCGUGAGUGAAGAAGUCUUUCGGUAUGUAAAGCUCUAUCAGUAGGGAAGAAGAAAGACGGUACCUGACUCAGAAGCCCCGGCUAACUACGUGCCCGUAGCCGCGGUAAUACGUCGGGGGCCAGGGUUAUACGGAUUUACUGGGGGUAAAGGGAGCGUAGACGGCUGUGCAAGUCUGAAGUGAAAGCCCGUGGCUCAAACGCGGAACUGCUUUGGAAACUGGAUAGCUUGAGUACUGGAGAGGCAGGCGGAAUGCGUAGUGUAGCGGUGAAAUGCGUAGAUAUUAGGAAGAACACCAGUUGCGAAGGCAGCCUACUGGACGGUGACUGACGCUGAGGCUCGAAAGCGUGGGGAUCAAACAGGAUUAGAUACCCCAGUAGUC
rnacentral:rRNA from 1 species